rnacentral:rRNA from 1 species
UCCUACGGGGCGCAGCAGUGGGGAAUAUUGCACAAUGGGGGAAACCCUGAUGCAGCAACGCCGCGUGAGUGAAGAAGUCAUUCGUGAUGUAGAGCUCUAUCAGCAGGGAAGAAAAUGACGGUACCUGAGUAAGAAGCCUCGGCUAACUACGUGCCAGCAGCCGCGGUAAUACGUAGGGGGCAAGCGUUAUCCGGAAUUAUUGGGCGUAAAGAGUACGUAGGUGGCAACCUAAGCGCAGGGUUUAAGGCAAUGGCUCAACCAUUGUUCGCCCUGCGAACUGGGAUGCUUGAGUGCAGGAGAGGAAA